UCUGGGGAAAUCGGUGGGGCUUCGGGUUGUGGAGGGAAUCGGGGAAGGACAAGAAGUAAGAUGUUUGGGGGGCGGGGAAGGGAGGAAGAGACUAAAUUAACCGGGCUGGGGAAGAGCCCGGACCAGCUGGUGUCCGGAGACGGGUGGUUGGGAAGCAUUGGAGUCCUCACGCCUGACUAAUGCGGGGGAUGUUUGGAUCCGCCUCCCCCCGCCUGCAUUUCUUCCAGGUACCCAUCUCCCUCCCCAGCUCCUUUCCCUGUCUGCCCAUCCCCCCGGCUCUUCUUCCCCGGGAGUUCGCGUCUCGCUCUUGCCUGGGGACGCUGCCCUCUGAUGUCUCCCGCUGACAGCGGCUCACAGGGGCUGAGCACCGGCCCGGGGCAAGCCCUGGUUAGCGCUGUAGCCUGUUGCUCAACUUUAACUUCUUUUUGCUGCUUCUCAAGAAAAGCAAAAACAAACAAUUAGAGAUGUGAAACUAUCACAUCAGGUGAUCAGAAGUCACAUUUUAUAGUUACAAAACUCUAUCUCUUUAGUGCAAACGGCCAAAGCAAUAUAUAGAAAUAGAAACAACCUCUGAUUUUGUAGUUAAAAACAGCUGAUUGUAAUUAAUUGCUUUGUCUCAGUUUCAUGUUUUGAAUGUCAACUCCUAAUGAACAACAAAACUGAACUACCACUCCAGUUUUAAUCAUACAGUAGGGAAGGAUGUCAAUGCACAAACUGUGCAUAAUCUGUUAGUCUUUAAAGUGCCACCGGACUCGUUGUUUUUGUCAGUGCACAAGAUGAUCUGAGGCUUACAACAUGGAGAUCAAGGGCCUAAUUCACCACUGCCAUGCACCUUGGGUGCUCAUUUACACUUCAUUAUGAAUUAUUAUUUGUAUUAUGGUAGUGCCUAUGGACCAAUGAAAAAUGGUGCCCCAGUAUGCUAGAUGCUGUACAAGGAGAAUAGUAGACAGUGCUUGGCCUGAAGAACUUAGAAUUUAAAUAAACAAGAGAGACAAAGGGUGGAUGAUUGGGAUAUAGGAACAAUAAUCCUGCUCCUGGACUAGGGGUUAAAAUCAGCCCAAUAGAAGAAUUCAGUAUCAUCUUAAAGUUGCAUCAAGGAACCCCUAGGAAGGUGAGGGAAUUGCUUCAUUCACUCUCCCCUCCCAAAAGCACUGACAAGUCAAUUAACAAACACAACUUUGGACCUAAUUUCACUAUUUUUAAUUUUGUUCCAAACCAGUACAAAACAUGGUAAGUGAGCAAUAAAUCCAAGAAUUGUGUUUUAAGUUUAGCAAGAAUCUAGAGCUCCCACCAUCAGCAUAAUAUAAGCAAUAGAAAUGGAUCUGAAUUCUUGGAAUUGACAGGGCUUUGUCAGGAAAAUUAAAGCAGACAGCAACAAGGAAACAAUUGAGAAAGACAGACCGAAAUGAAUAUUCUUAACAUGCACACCCCAUCUGACAGUAACAAGAAAUAACUAGAAAGAGUAACAGGCCUAAGUUAGAAGUUCUAAAGAAAAGUUGCCAUGAGCUUGUGAUGCUCCCCAGAACUACCCAGAUUUCUGAGGCAUCUAGUCACUACUUGCCCUUAAUGUGAAACAGUCUUGUCUUUGCCUGCUGUGGUUCUGCUUCCUAAAACCAACAGCCUCUGACCCCCGCAAGCACUACCUUCCAGGUGUUCGCAGACCUUGCCCUCUCUGUGCAGGCUAGUGCUGAGUGCACACCAACCCCCUCAGAGUGCUUACUGCAGUAUCCAGCCCGUGUCUAGAUCAGGGAUCGGCAAGCCCCCUGGUAGGCCGGGCCAGUUUGUUUACCUGCUGUGUCUGCAGGUUCGGCCGAUCGCGGCUCCUACUGGCCGCAGUUUGCCGUUCUAGGCCAAUGGGGUCUGUGAGAAGCCGCAGCCAGCACAUCCCAUGGCCUGCGCUGCUUCCUGCAGCCCCCAUUGGCCUGGAAUGGCGAACCGGAGCCAGUGGGAGCCGCGAUCAGCUGAACCUGCGGAUGCGGCAUGUAAACAAACCGGCCCGGCCCACCCUGCCAGGGGGCUUACCCUGGCGGGCCGCAUGCUGAAGAUUGCCGAUCUCUGGUAUAGACACUGAUGGUUAUUACCAGAUAAGCCAUUUCCAAAAAGAAAGAGUGUACACAUAGCUUGAGUGGUACAGCUCAGGAUCAGGUCCUUUAUAACAUUACAGCACUGAAAUAUAUUUACAGCAAAAAAAUCAUAAGUUUAUUAACAGAUUAAGACUUUGGACACACUGAGAAAGGAAAAUGAGUGGAAACAGAUCUGGUUACACAUAUAAAAGCAAAACAUAAAAUGAAAUCCUAAGUCUAUACUUAUUAAUGGUUAUCUUUCCUAUUUUAUCAAGUAGAUUUUCUCCCAAAGAUCAGGGCCAGCUCCAGCUUUUUUGCUGCCCCAAACGGCGAAGGAAAAAACAAACAAACAAAAAAAAGCCUGGUUGAGCUGCCGCCGAAGAGGAAGAGAGAGGCUGCAGGGCCCACUGCCGAAAUGGCGCCAAAGACCUGGACGUGCCGCCCUGAUGACGGACAGAGUGCUGCCCCUUUCUAUUGGCCACCCCAGGCACCUGCUUCCUUCGCUGGUGCCUAGAGCCGGCCCUGCCAAGGAUUCAGUCUUUGACGGAACUGGUGGUUUUCAGACAAAAUCAGGAUCCAAAUUUUCAUGAAUAUCCCUACGCUCUUCCAGUGGUUUCCUCAGUAUAUGGAUUCCAAGAUGGUUUUUUGCUUGUCCUUAUGCAGUACUGAAGUGUAGUACUUGGUAGUAUUUAAGUAAGCCAAUACAAGCAAUACGAGGAAGAAGUUUAUAAGGGAGGGGUAUACAACUUCCAAAAAGAACAUUGGAUCUAAUUCUUAGCCUGUAUGCUGUAUCCAAAAAAUAAACAUUAAAAAUAUGGUGUGAUGUUAUUGACA